UUAACCUACCACUUCACUGGGCACGUGUACAAUAGGGAACGCAGAUCAGAAAUCAGUCAACAACAACGCAGGUUAAGCGUGGUUGAGAAGAAAGAAACAUGUCGGAAGAUAACAGAUAUGAGUUUACAUUAGCAGACAGCAAGGAACCACCCAAGAAAUCUAGACUUGUACUAUGCCUGGGUGGCUCUGUGCUCUUGUUGUCCGUAGCGGUCAUCGCAGCGGUGAGCGCCAUGAUUUAUCAAUAUUUUGCUCUGUCUGCAAAGAUGAACCACCUGACUGUCACUUGUAAGCCAGCUGACGUUGUCAAACAAUACCCGGGUUAUUUUCGGACACCACUGGAACAGAUCGAAGUAGAGCGGCGGUAUAAUCAGGAUUCACAAUACCUGA